rnacentral:rRNA from 1 species
AUGCCAUGGUGCAAACUCAAAUAUGUAAAUAAUGCGUUUCCUUUUUUUUGCUUGUCACUCUUGCUCUUAUCAGGCAAAGAAACAUAUAAAGAACUAAUUAUUGUGGUGGAUCUUGCAUUUCUGAUUAUCCAUUAUCCAUUACUUCUAAAACAGCAGCAGUAUUUUGGGGUUCCCUUUUCUAAGAGCUCCCUUUUCUCACACAUGGAUGCUGACCAUGGUGAACUGCCAAUCACUACUGGAGACGGAACUACCGCUGUCACAGCCUGCUUUAUCAUGGGUGUUGACAAAAGGGCCACCAUCACUAGAGGCUGGAGUGACUUCUUUCGUCAGGCGCACAUGAAGAAAGGUCAAGCAUAUGCUUUCGACUUUAAAUGCACUUCCAAGAGACUGCGCCUGAUCGUCUACUCAAUAUAA